GCUCCCCUGGACUAUUCGCCAGUUGGAUGUGUUCUUGAGCCGUUAAACCCACCCUGGAGGCUUUGCCCAAUGGCGCCGUGUGCAUGUCCGCUCGUCGGAAAGCCUUAAGCGUCGGACUGGCCACCACCUGAACCUUACGGUUCAGGACAAUUCCAGCAGCGGUAUUCCGGGGCCUCA
rnacentral:other from 1 species